GUGCCAUGUCUCUUAUUCUUGAUCAGCUAUAGCUCUGGAGUUUUUGUAGAUUUUCAAAUAAAACUCAGAGAUUCCUUUGUAUGACUCUCUCAUAUCUCUCUUUUGUGGUAUUUCUGGAUCCUUACCAAGGCAGUGAUGGUAUAUGCCUUCUCUCAAAAUAUGUGGUAUUUGUGGUAUAAGGCAUAGUGACAUUGCCUUCUCUCUCACCCUACUCUAAUAAGGCUUUAAUAUCUGGAGCUCAUAGGUGGGAGAUAAAGUAUACAUACUUACAAGACAUUUAUUGUAUAGUCAAACCAUGGAUCCAAAGAAACAAAUCAAUAAGCCAAAUCAAGAAGUGCAUGUGUGGCGAAUGUAUGGUGUAUAGUGAUGAUGGUGAUAACAAUGGUGAAAGUCUAAUUCUACUUUUGCUCUUAUGAGGGGAUACAUACCUUCCUUGCUUUUUGAAACUUUAUGAGGAGAAUGAGAUGCUCUUCUUUUUCUUUCCUCUCAGGUGGGUAUCUUGUACCCCUAAUUCUACUGUUGGACACUUGUCCAUUUUUACCUCUCGUCUCACUUUUUCUUUCUUUCGAGGUUCUGGGCACUUGCCCCUUUUUAUUUCCUCAUUUCUUUUUCUCUCUUUUUUUUUAGAUAGCAUUCAUCUCUUGAGAUAAUAUAGCAAGUGGUAGUAAUAAGAUAACUCGAUCAUUUAUUUCACAAGGGGAAAACAGAAAUAUUUUUGGUUAUUCUCUCCCGUAUUAGGAGUAGAAUGAUUUUGGGUGAAACUGGAGAUGGAAAUGGAUGGAUAUAUAUGGAUGGUACUUCCGGAGUAGAAGUAGCAUAUAUGAGUGAACGUGCAAGUGAAUCUUGAUUUAACCACAUGACAAGCUCCUAAGGGUCUACACAGCUUGACCACACUCAAUGCUCAUAAGCAGUAAAUAAAUGUGUGGCUCAAAGUCUAGCAAGCAUGUAUAUAUGGCUGUGGUAGGAAUUUAAACUUUCAUCAUACAGGAACUCACCAUGCAAUAUUUUAAAGAUUUUUCAAAGAUAAAAUUCUCCAGAAUUCUAGCAUCUCUAGGAAUAGAUAAACAGCAGCUCAACCUUCCCAUAUCAUAUCCGUUAACAACUUAGAUUUCAGAUCAAGUUUUCAUCCCACAAGUUCAGAUCUAGAGCAAGCUUUAAAUUAUAACAGUUAUGUCUAAACUAGAGAGAGAACUUCAAAUUUGCAAAUUAGGCAGAGCAACUAUUCAUCAUAUCCAUGCUAGAGUUUUAUUAUUAAGAUUCAUAGCAAACUUUAUUUAUUUAUUUAUUUAUUUAGCAAACUAAGAAAAGAUAUAUAUAUAUAUAAGCAUAAAAUCUUUAUUUGGUUUUUCAUAGUUUAUGUAUUUUAAUAUUCUACUAUAAUAUAAGUAUAAAGAUAGGUAGAAAUACUUAGCGAGAUAAAUAGGGGUGCUCUCCCCCAAGCUGAAUUUUGACGUAAUUUCUCUUGAUGUAGCUAGCAGGUGGCAGAGGUGUAUUUGAAAGUCAGCAGCAUUCUGACAGCAAUUAGAAUGUCCUCCGUCUGCUAGUCUUCUUGAUUCUUAAAUUCUGUAGAGCUUAAAUAGACAACAAAGCUUGUGGAACUAAUUAAGUGUUAGCAUAAAUAUCUAGCCUUCAUCUUCCUCAAUAAAUAUUACUCCCUGUUUUUAUAUUUUUAUUUUAUAAAGUAGAAAAGAAAUAUUUAUUUUAUUUUUAUGCCACCACAGUGAAGGUACUUAUGGGUUUUAUGCCACUCGUAUACUCAUAUGGGGCUUAGUAUUUUUUAACAUUUUUAUUUUCUUUUCAAGAUAGCAUGAUUAACUAAUAAUCUAUUUAAGGAAAGUAAAUAAUUAAAUGGAAAAGGGAAUGCAGAAAGGAUAAAUAUGGAUAACUACCAAUCUUACCUUUCGGCGAGGGUUCAAUGUUUUAAGUCUUCUUGUCAAGACUUCUCAUCGUGUUCAUUCUUCAGGUGCAUAAUUUGAUUCAGGUGCGGACCUUGACGUCUGCACCUCUUGAUACGGUGUCACCCACGUUCUUUGUGUUGCCCAGUAGUUCGAAGUGCGGUGUUGGCAGUAUCCUGCUCAGUGUGUUUGUGCUCGUAGUGUACCUGCUCAUAGAGACAAGGCAGAGAUCAAGUGCAUGGGCCCUGUUGGUGGAAAACACUA
rnacentral:lncRNA from 1 species